AUUUGGAACAGUUUUUGUGUGAUAUUCUACUGGCCAGUACGCAAAGAAAUUAUUAUUAUGGAAUAAAAUCAUAUAGCUUGCAUAUUCACUUUUGUUAGAACUGAUUUUGUGUUGAUAUGCCAAUAAAAAAAGGGGGCGGGAGUGGAAGGA